UGGGGAAUUUUGGACAAUGGGGGCAACCCUGAUCCAGCCAUUCCGCGUGAGUGAAGAAGGCCUUCGGGUUGUAAAGCUCUUUCGCAAGGGAAGAAAACUUAUGAUCGAAUAAAUCAUGAGGUUGACGGUACCUUGAUAAGAAGCACCGGCUAACUACGUGCCAGCAGCCGCGGUAAUACGUAGGGUGCGAGCGUUAAUCGGAAUUACUGGGCGUAAAGCGUGCGCAGGCGGUUUUGUAAGUCGGAUGUGAAAUCCCCGGGCUCAACCUGGGAACUGCGUUCGAAACUGCAAGGCUAGAGUGUGUCAGAGGGGGGUAGAAUUCCACGUGUAGCAGUGAAAUGCGUAGAGAUGUGGAGGAAUACCAAUGGCGAAGGCAGCCCCCUGGGAUAACACUGACGCUCAUGCACGAAAGCGUGGGGAGCAAACAGGAUUAGAUACCCUGGUAGUCCACGCCCUAAACGAUGUCAACUAGUUGUUGGUAGAGUAAAAUCUAUGAGUAACGUAGCUAACGCGUGAAGUUGACCGCCUGGGGAGUACGGUCGCAAGAUUA
rnacentral:rRNA from 1 species